UACGUAGGGUGCAAGCGUUAAUCGGAAUUACUGGGCGUAAAGCGUGCGCAGGCGGUUUUGUAAGUCUGUCGUGAAAGCCCCGGGCUCAACCUGGGAAUUGCAUUUGAGACUGCGUAGCUAGGGUGCGGAAGAGGGAAGCGGAAUUUCCGGUGUAGCGGUGAAAUGCGUAGAUAUCGGAAGGAACACCAGUGGCGAAAAGCGGCUUCCUGGUCCAGCACCGACGUCAGGCACG
rnacentral:rRNA from 1 species